rnacentral:lncRNA from 1 species
CGACUAAAGAGGGAAUGCAUCUGAGUUGUCUAUCCGUGCGAGAUCAAAUCUGGACCAUUGAAUCGCUGGGCACACAGAUCGCCCGCGUGGCCUCCCACGUGGUGCUGAUGUCAGCGUAUUUUGUCACGCAGUGUGCUCUGAUUCAUUGUGGCUGCUGACUGGCCUGUCCCACGUGGCUGAUUUUUUUUUUAUAUUUUAACCCUAUAUUUCUAAUUUUUCUUUUAAAAAUACCCACCG